GGCGGCAGUGCAUGAGGCGAUGCACAGAGCAGCGGGCCACUUGUCUGAAACAGCGGAUGG
rnacentral:SRP_RNA from 1 species